CUUAAUGCAUAAGUCCCCGAAAGCUUAACAUUCAUCCAUAACAAGCAACAGAAAGAUCAAACACAGACGUAAAGAAGGUAGAACUAAGACGUAAGGUUUAGCCGGAUCUGAAAACACAGACAAAAAUCCAGCUAUAUAUCAAUACUAGCGUUUAAUGAGAAUGACAAAAACGGUUCAUUCCUGCAGAAGAUUGAUCCGAAAUGGUGUUAUAUUCAAACAAACAUUACUGCUUAAUUUUAAAAAAUAAUCAUUAAUUAUUUUCAAAAGCCCUCUAAGGAAACUAGUUAGCUAGCCAAAAAAAAAGUUUAAACCUACUAUUUCCUACAUAGGUUUUAUAACAACAAAUUUCCAUUUAGGUAGCGUUCAAAGUAAAGGGUCAUGCGCUAAUUCUGCAUUAUAGAACCUAAUACGCUACAGAUCCGGAAAAGGCUUGGAAUCACUACUAAGGAAAGAAAUCAGUAAAAUAACAGUAAUUCACUAAUUGCAAACAGUCACCUUUUGUUACAUUGCUUACUCUGCCAACAAACACACAUCAAACAAAAACUUGAGUCUGAUUAACUUUAACAUGAGCUUGAUGUAUUUUUAUCAACAUUUUAAAAUAAAGCUUUUGACUGAUUGUGCUUAAAGACAGUGCUGAAUACCAAACUUGCACCCUCUAAUCUCAUACACUGCCCCACAAAUUGCAGCAGUAAUUUUUUUCAAUAACUUUUACCCCACAUGCCCCAAAAGGUUGAAUUUAAAAGCACUCUGAUACCAAUGCUAGAACCCAAAAUAUAUGGAAAUAUUAUUGAUGAAAACCCUAGCAGGUAACAAGAGAGAGAUACCAAACACUCUCCCUAACCAACCAAGAGAGUGACCCAACACUCUCCCUAAACCCUAAUUCCAAAAUGAAUACAAAGAUACCCACCCUCACUCACUUCCUCUUAUUUAUAGGCAACAAGCCUUAUUAACCUUCUAACCAACUAACAAACUCACUAACACUUCUAAACUAACCAACCUCUAACCGUGAGUAUCUAUCACAAAUCUAUGAAUCGAUUCUCAACAGUCAAAAUCAAUUUUUUGGUGUUCACAAGUUUCCUUUCACAAUUAAUUCUAGCUUCAAAAUCAAUUUUUAGGAUGAAGCUACAAAACUAGCUUGUGUGGUGAAUCAUAAUCAAUUGUAUGGGAUUUCAAGAUUAUCCUACAGAAAUCAUUUUUCCAUAUCAAUAUAUUCAAUCACAAUUCUCUUCACUUUCAACUCACUUUUACCAUAAUCAAUUUUACCGAACUCAAUUCUAACAAUGCUAAUCCAAACAUGCAUAAAAGUACUGAAUAGGCAAACUGAUUAUUCAACACACACACGCAACAUCAAAACCAGCAACAUAUAAAUGACACUACACCAUCAACAGAUCUGACUAGUAGACAAAAAUUAUUAACAACAUACAUUGAACACCAAUUUGAGAUUCUUAUUAUUACAUUAAACAACAAUUCAAUUACACAAACACCGAAAUUCAAAUCAUGGUAAUUCAGAAAACACGAAUUCAAAUAGGAACAGCAGCAUAAUCCAGAAUUGAAAAUCAC
rnacentral:lncRNA from 1 species